ACUAGCGGCAGUGACAGACUCAAGAAUAACCACUGUGCCCAAUUACUAGUCGUAUAAUUUGAAUUAAUUAUGUAAAAUCAUCGUACAGUUGGUAUAUUAUGAAGAAGUUAAAUAUUUCUUCAUUAUUGGCUGAUAUGAUCAGUUGUGAAUCUAUAUAAACCAGAAGAAGUUUAUGGGUCCGAACACUCUAUAAUCAGUCGAACUGAAAUUAAUGGCUGAAACUUGUUUUGCGGUUGUUUUUCUGUUUGUGUUGAUGCUUUUCAGCUCGGGACCUCUUCGGGAGUACAACUGUCGAAAGCCGAUCACCAUCACCCACGCAUGGGGCAACAUACAAAUCUCAUGCAAGAUUACCCUAAUUCAGAAGCACCAUAUUGAGAGUGAUGCCUCAGAAAAGCCGAUUAUAAUCAUCCUUUCUCUGUUUUUGAUUUCAGCUUUUGCUGUCGUAUCUUUUUACCUACUCUCUCCACUUCCUUGUAGGGAGAGGGUUUUUAAUAUAUCUUGCUUUUAGAGUAAAAAAUAAAUAAGCUACUAGACUGUCAUAGCCCAUCCUUAGCCAUUGAGGCACCCUGUCUGCCCUUAGUCCAUUAUAUGGUGCUAUUAUAACUCUAUCUCCAUUAGUUUAUCAGUAGGCUUUUCUAUUAGAGGCACGUGCUCACUAUCUAGCCGUUGGAUGCUAGGUUAAUCAUUUCUAUUGAUAUCUAAGCUGUAAGAACUUCUUUCCGUUCAAUCUAAUGAAAGUUAAGAGUUGUUUA